AUACUCUGGUUUCUCUUCAGAUCGUAUAAAUCUUUCGCCUUUUACUAAAGAUUUCCGUGGAGAGGAACAUUUAUGUGCGGCUCUGCCCCAGACCGUUUGCCUCUCUGGCUUUGUGGUAGGUU
ensembl:snRNA U5 U5 spliceosomal RNA